rnacentral:rRNA from 1 species
CCUACGGGUGGCAGCAGUGAGGAAUAUUGGUCAAUGGACGAGAGUCUGAACCAGCCAAGUAGCGUGAAGGAUGACUGCCCUAUGGGUUGUAAACUUCUUUUAUAUGGGAAUAAAAUGUUCCACGUGUGGGAUUUUGUAUGUACCAUAUGAAUAAGGAUCGGCUAACUCCGUGCCAGCAGCCGCGGUAAUACGGAGGAUCCGAGCGUUAUCCGGAUUUAUUGGGUUUAAAGGGAGCGUAGGUGGAUUGUUAAGUCAGUUGUGAAAGUUUGCGGCUCAACCGUAAAAUUGCAGUUGAAACUGGCAGUCUUGAGUAAAGUAGAGGUGGGCGGAAUUCGUGGUGUAGCGGUGAAAUGCUUAGAUAUCACGAAGAACUCCGAUUGCGAAGGCAGUUCACUGGACUGCAACUGACACUGAGGCUCGAAAGUGUGGGUAUCAAACAGGAUUAGAUACCCUUGUAGUC